AAAAAAAAAAAGAAUAAAUAGGUUAUGUGGGGGUGGGAGAAUAAAAUUAUAAAAUUGUAUUUCUAAAUAUAAAUUUUUGCUAAAGGAUACAAUUGGAAUAGAAAAAAUAGAAGAAAGGGUAAAAAUGGAAUGGGGGGUGGGGGUUGGAAUUGGGGAGGUACAGGGAGUAACCCCCUUGAUCUUUUGAGUAACCAUAUUCUUAAACUAAAUAAUUAUAUUUUUCGAGGGGAAGCCAACUUGAAAAAGGGAAAAGACAAAAAGUUGCCCUUGCCUUUUUAGAUUAUGGCAGAAAUGAAAAUUUUAUUUGGACUUGCAGAUAGGAGAAAGAUUAUUAACGCAUGCUUGAUAUGUUGGGAGUAGAUGGAGAAAUUAUAAGACCCUGAGGAGGGUUGCUUAAAUCGAAAUGUAAAUAAUAUAAUUAAUAUAAUAAUAUAAAUAACAUGAGUAAUAAAAUAUUAAUAAUAAUCUAU
rnacentral:lncRNA from 1 species